ACUCACGCUGGCGGCGUGCUUAACCCAUGCCAGUCGCACGGAAAGGCCCUGCUUUUGUGGGGUGCUCGAGUGGCGAACGGGUGAGUAACACGUGAGUAACCUGCCCUUGACUUUGGGAUAACUUCAGGAAACUGGGGCUAAUACCGGAUAGGAGCUCCUGCUGCAUGGUGGGGGUUGGAAAGUUUCGGCGGUUGGGGAUGGACUCGCGGCUUAUCAGCUUGUUGGUGGGGUAGUGGCUUACCAAGGCUUUGACGGGUAGCCGGCCUGAGAGGGUGACCGGCCACAUUGGGACUGAGAUACGGCCCAGACUCCUACGGGAGGCAGCAGUGGGGAAUAUUGCACAAUGGGCGGAAGCCUGAUGCAGCAACGCCGCGUGCGGGAUGACGGCCUUCGGGUUGUAAACCGCUUUCGCCUGUGACGAAGCGUGAGUGACGGUAAUGGGUAAAGAAGCACCGGCUAACUACGUG
rnacentral:rRNA from 1 species